AGCUAGCGAGAGGGAAAGACCGGACCGCUCCGACCCACCCCCUCCCCACCCCCACCUCCCACCUUAAAGCACCUCAAACCGCAGAAGCCUCUCAGCCUCCUCUUCCCUCCGCGGACGCGCUGAGCAGCGAUUGAAAACGCUUUGGUUCCUCCGCAGGGGCGCCUUCUGGGGUCUCUGCAUUAAGACCGGCCCUCCGCGGUCUCUCCCGGAGCUGGGGACAGUGGAGUGGGCCUCUGCCUGGGUCGACCGCACAGUAGGGGACGCCGUGAAAAGAGCCGCCUUGCCUGCUGCCUCCAGCCCGCUGCGCAGAGGGCUCCGCCCGUAGAGGUCAACUCCCCUCACCCCUUCCUCUCUCCUGCUCGCCCUCCCUCCGCCCGGCCCCGGCACUUCCAUCCUCCUGAUUCUUGCCGCAGUGUGAGGAGUGAGCGUCCGCUGCGCUGCCCUGAACUGAACCCCCCAACCGGGCCGAGACUCGAGGUCCGCGCUCCCAGGCAGUGGGGAAGCCUUAGCGAGCAGCCUUUUCUCUCUGCAGCAAAACCAUAGCCAGACCAGAUGGGCCGCCCAGCUCUCUCGGGACUAGGCAGGUGCUGUUGAGUUAAUUUUUCCGCAUUACAAAGAAAGAUGACCCAGGCCGCCCUUGGACUCUCAUCAUUUUCCAAAAUCUUGCAGCCAAAACCGCGGUAACGUUAACAGAGGACGGAGAGAACAGGCGUAUCUGUGUGUUUAUCUUACUUGCACACACGCGUGUUUGUUUUCCCUUUUGUGUGCUAGAUUUCAUCCCCGACCGCAAGAUAUGAUUGGCAAAGGUUUCUGCAGCCAAACACGCAAUGGCGCGGUCCUUUAAAACCUUCCAUUUCUUGUAAGUGCCUUAGAAGAGAUUCAGGGCGAACCAACUGGGUUAAUUGCCUCCAGUAAAAUAACACGAUUACAAAAUUA